rnacentral:lncRNA from 1 species
CAGAAGUUAGAACGUGAAGCCAGAAUCUGUCGCAAGCUCAACCAUCCUAAUAUCGGUAAGUGGUUUCUUUCUUUUUUUUUUCUGUUUUUAUCCGUUUUACAGCUGUUGCAGUUAGAUAGGCGAUUAUCCCGGAAGAGAAUGGCAUCUUUUGUACAGAAAAUUGGUAGAAUUGCAUCGAUUGAGGUUGUUUUUCGCCAAGAUUUAAGCGUAUCGAACCGAAUUACUUAACUCCGGGCGAGUGAGAGCGAGUGAUAAAGUCGCAUUUAACGACCUUCCUGUUAGGAGUGUCUAGGAAGAGAGAGAUGCUGGAUUUUUUUUCUGUCAAUUGAUAAACAAAAACUGGUGGUCGCACCUCAGGAUGUGAGACACUCCGACUUCCACCCGUUACGAAGGACCCGAAUUUUGAUAUAAAUUACGACGUAGAUCCGUCAUUAGCUUCACUCCCACGCCCUCCAGUAUGUACACAUGUCGUUCAAAAGACUCAAAAGAUCCAUAAGGUGUAGUGAUGGUUGGCAUGGUAACUAUUGAUUGGAUAAUUGAACUCUGGGAUUCGUUUAAAAGUCGUUUCGACAUAACGAUCCAACGUUACAACCUUGAAACUUCAGGAAAAGUAUACGGGAGAGCAUAAGAAAAAAAAAAUAACGCGCAUUUUGUUUUAUAUUAUUCUCGUCUCUUUCUCUCCAACUUGGAUCAUUGUGACAUUUAUAUUGUGGAGUGAGUGUCUCCAAACUCCAUCCCUAGAGAUAGACAUCACGCUAAACUUAUCUGUUGCUUCAUUACACAGUAAUGAGAAUGUGAUGCGUAUAAAGUCGUUUCCACGGUUAGAAAACGAGGAUAGUCAUUCAGGAGUCUAUUACCACAUUAUUGAUGAGCGGUUGCAAUUUUUUCCUUUCCAAUUUUUGCAGAAAUGCUUUAGAUAACGUUAGCAAAGAGAAUUUUUUUUCCUCUUUCGUUUCCACACGUAACGGAAGAGGAGCGAGAGAGAGAGAGAGAGAUGUAAAUUUUGCAAAAUAUAUCUGGAUCGCUAUUUUCUGCUCUUUUCGUCUUUAGCGAUUACUCUUUUGCGUAUUGCGGAAUGGAUGCUGGAGAUCUGCGAGUGUGUUAUCGCCAUAGCAACCGGCGAUGUUCGUAAAUGGAAGCUGUCUUCCGAAUUUUUCCUGAAACUGUUAACGCGCGUCGAACGUCGCAAUCGGUAACGCGCGUAGUCAUCGAAUGCAAACGUCUUAAAAUAAUUAAUUUUAUCGAUUUGCAGUCGUAUAAAUUGCUGCACAAACACUGUUGCAACAUCCGGAAUUCAGGGAAACGAACCAGAACGUUUUCCUACUUAGCUGAGUAUCUUUUUUUUUUUUUUUUUUAAUUAAAAUGCGUUUAUGCAGACGAUUGUUUAGCUUUAAAAGUAACAAA